rnacentral:rRNA from 1 species
AUACGUAGGGUGCGAGCGUUAAUCGGAAUUACUGGGCGUAAAGCGUGCGCAGGCGGUUUUGUAAGACAGUGGUGAAAUCCCCGGGCUCAACCUGGGAACUGCCAUUGUGACUGCAAGGCUGGAGUGCGGCAGAGGGGGAUGGAAUUCCGCGUGUAGCAGUGAAAUGCGUAGAUAUGCGGAGGAACACCGAUGGCGAAGGCAAUCCCCUGGGCCUGCACUGACGCUCAUGCACGAAAGCGUGGGGAGCAAACAGGAUUAGAUACCCUGGUAGUCCACGCCCUAAACGAUGUCAACUGGUUGUUGGGAAUUUAUUUUCUCAGUAACGAAGCUAACGCGUGAAGUUGACCGCCUGGGGAGUACGGCCGCAAGGUUAAAACUCAAAUGAAUUGGCGGGG